AGAGUUUGAUCCUGGCUCAGGACGAACGCUGGCGGUGCGCCUAAUGCAUGCAAGUCGAACGGGCAAUGGGGUUUCGGCCCCGGCGCUAGUGGCAGACGGCUGAGUAACACGUAAGUGAUCUGCCCCGGAGCGGGGGAUAAUCCGGAGAAAUCCGGCCUAAUACCCCGUACGUUCAUGUGGUUAAGGCCAUAUGAAGAAAGGUUUCGACCGCUCUGGGAGGAGCUUGCGGCCUAUCAGGUAGUUGGCGGGGUAAAAGCCCACCAAGCCGAAGACGGGUAACCGAUGUGAGAGCAUGAUCGGUCAGAGGGGGACUGAGACACGGCCCCCACUCCUACGGGAGGCAGCAGCAGGGAAUCUUGCGCAAUGGGCGAAAGCCUGACGCAGCGACACCGCGUGGGGGAAGAAGGCCUUAGGGUUGUAAACCCCUUUUCUGGGGGAGGAGAUAGGACGGUACUUCAGGAAUAAGCAUCGGCUAACUACGUGCCAGCAGCCGCGGUAAUACGUAGGAUGCAAGCGUUGUCCGGGAUUUACUGGGCGUAAAGGGUGUGUAGGCGGCAUGUUAAGUCUCAUGUGAAAUCUCCCGGCUCNACUGGGANGGGUCAUGGGAACUGGCAAGCUGGNAGGCAGCAGAGGAAAGCGGGAAUUCCGGGAGUAGUGGUGGAAUGCGUAAAUACCCGGAGAACACAGAGCGAAGGCGGCUUUCUGGGCUGUCCUGACGCUGAAACCCGAAGCGUGGGAGGCAACGGGAUUAGAUACC
rnacentral:rRNA from 1 species